rnacentral:rRNA from 1 species
CAGCAGCCGCGGGAAUACCGAGGGUGCGAGCGUUAAUCGGAUUUACUGGGCGUAAAGCGUGCGUAGGCGGCUUCUUAAGUCGGAUGUGAAAUCCCUGAGCUUAACUUAGGAAUUGCAUUCGAUACUGGGAAGCUAGAGUAUGGGAGAGGAUGGUAGAAUUCCAGGUGUAGCGGUGAAAUGCGUAGAGAUCUGGAGGAAUACCGAUGGCGAAGGCAGCCAUCUGGCCUAAUACUGACGCUGAGGUACGAAAGCAUGGGGAGCAAACAGGAUUAGAUACCCCGGUAGUCCAUGUCUCUUAUAC